GACGAACGCUGGCGGCGUGCCUAAUACAUGCAAGUCGAACGCAGUGGGGACGGGUGAGUAACACGUGGGUAACCUCCCAUCAGAGGGGAUAACACUUGGAAACAGGUGCUAAACCGAUACUGAUGGAUGGACCCGCGGUGCAUUAGCUAGUUGGUGAGGUAACGGCUCACCAAGGCCACGAUGCAUCGCCGACCUGUGAGGGUGAUCGGUCACUCUGCGACUGGGACACAGCCCAGACUCCUGCUGGAGGCAGCAGUAGGGAAACGUCGGCAAUGGACGAAAGUCAGACCGAGCAAUGCCGCGUGAAUGAAGAAGGUUUUCGGAUCAUAAAACUCUGUUGUUAGAGAAGCGGUAUCUAACCAGAAAGCCACGGAUAACUACGUGCCAGCAGCCGCGGUAAUAC
rnacentral:rRNA from 1 species